AUUGAACGCUGGCGGCAUGCUUUACACAUGCAAGUCGAACGGCAGCGCGGGCUUCGGCCUGGCGGCGAGUGGCGAACGGGUGAGUAAUACAUCGGAACGCGCCCAGUAGUGGGGGAUAGCUCGGCGAAAGCCGGAUUAAUACCGCAUACGACCUGAGGGUGAAAGCGGGGGAUCUUCGGACCUCGCGCUAUUGGAGCGGCCGAUGGCAGAUUAGCUAGUUGGUGGGGUAAAGGCCUACCAAGGCGACGAUCGGUUGCUGGUCUGAGAGGACGACCAGCCACACUGGGACUGAGACACGGCCCAGACUCCUACGGGAGGCAGCAGUGGGGAAUUUUGGACAAUGGGCGAAAGCCUGAUCCAGCAAUGCCGCGUGUGUGAUGAAGGCCUUCGGGUUGUAAAGCACUUUUGGCGGGAACGAAAAGGACUGUGCCAAUACCACGGUUCGAUGACGGUACCCGCAGAAUAAGCACCGGCUAACUACGUG
rnacentral:rRNA from 1 species